rnacentral:rRNA from 1 species
GAUGAACGCUGGCGGCGUGCCUAAUACAUGCAAGUCGAGCGAACGGACGAGAAGCUUGCUUCUCUGAUGUUAGCGGCGGACGGGUGAGUAACACGUGGAUAACCUACCUAUAAGACUGGGAUAACUUCGGGAAACCGGAGCUAAUACCGGAUAAUAUUUUGAACCGCAUGGUUCAAAAGUGAAAGACGGUCUUGCUGUCACUUAUAGAUGGAUCCGCGCUGCAUUAGCUAGUUGGUAAGGUAACGGCUUACCAAGGCAACGAUGCAUAGCCGACCUGAGAGGGUGAUCAGCCACACUGGAACUGAGACACGGUCCAGACUCCUACGGGAGGCAGCAGUAGGGAAUCUUCCGCAAUGGGCGAAAGCCUGACGGAGCAACGCCGCGUGAGUGAUGAAGGUCUUCGGAUCGUAAAACUCUGUUAUUAGGGAAGAACAUAUGUGUAAGUAUCUGUGCACAUCUUGACGGUACCUAAUCAGAAAGCAACGGCUAACUACGUG